CAGUCGCCGCGGGAAUACGGAGGGUGCAAGCGUUAUCCGGAUUUAUUGGGUUUAAAGGGUCCGUAGGCGGAUCUGUAAGUCAGUGGUGAAAUCUCACAGCUUAACUGUGAAACUGCCAUUGAUACUGCAGGUCUUGAGUAAAUUUGAAGUGGCUGGAAUAAGUAGUGUAGCGGUGAAAUGCAUAGAUAUUACUUAGAACACCAAUUGCGAAGGCAGGUCACUAAGAUUUAACUGACGCUGAUGGACGAAAGCGUGGGGAGCGAACAAGAUUAGAUACCCCUGUAGUCCCUGUCUCUUAUAC
rnacentral:rRNA from 1 species